GUACAAUGAUGACAAUCUUAGGACACCUUUGGAGGUAUUGACCAAUGAAACUAAACCAUAUACUGAGUACC